rnacentral:rRNA from 1 species
AUUGAACGCUAGCGGGAUGCCUUACACAUGCAAGUCGAACGGAGUGGCGAACGGGUGAGUAAUGUAUCGGAACGUGCCCAGUAGCGGGGGAUAACUACGCGAAAGCGUAGCCAAUACCGCAUACUAUUGGAGCGGCCGCUAUCGGAUUAGCUAGUUGGUCGGGUAACGGCUCACCAAGGCGACGAUCCGUAGCCGGAUUGAGGGGGCGACCAGCCACACGGGGACUGAGACACGGACCAGACUCCGACGGGAGGCAGCAGUGGGGAAUGUUGGACAAUGGGGGAAACCCUGAUCGAGCCAUCCCGCGUGUGCGAUGAAGGCCUUCGGGUUGUAAAGCACUUUUGUCAGGAAAGCGGUACCUGCAGAAUAAGCACCGGCUAACUACGUGCCAGCAGCCGCGGUAAUAC